rnacentral:rRNA from 1 species
AUUGAACGCUGGCGGCAGGCCUAACACAUGCAAGUCGAGCGAGCGGCGGACGGGUGAGUAAUGUAUGGGGACUGCACGAUAGAGGGGGAUAACUAAUGGCAACGGUGCUAAUACAGAAUACUGUCGGAUAACCACUAUGGGAUUAGCUAGUGGGUAAGGUAAUGGUAUACCUAGGCGAAGAUCCCUAGCUGGUCUGAGAGGAUGAUCAGCCACACUGGGACUGAGACACGGCCCAGACUCCUACGGAGGCAGCAGUGGGGAAUAUUGCACAAUGGGCGAAAGCCUGAUGCAGCCAUGACGCGUGUAUGAAGAAGGCCCUAGGGUUGUAAAGUACUUUCAGUCGGGAGGCGUUACCGACAGAAGAAGCACCGGCUAACUCCGUGCCAGCAGCCGCGGUAAUUC